rnacentral:rRNA from 1 species
UACAGAGGGGGCAAGCGUUAUUCGGAAUUAUUGGGCGUAAAGGGCGCGUAGGCGGCGAUUCAAGUGACGGGUGAAAUCCCUCGGCUUAACCGAGGAACUGCCUGUCAGACUGGAUUGCUUGAGGCCGGGAGAGGCGAGUGGAAUUCCCAGUGUAGCGGUGAAAUGCGUAGAUAUUGGGAGGAACACCGGCGGCGAAGGCGGCGAACUGGGACGGUACUGACGCUGAGACGCGAAAGCGUGGGGAGCAAACAGG